rnacentral:misc_RNA from 1 species
AGAAUUGACAUAUCCACAUGCACAAAAUCUGAUAGCCAACAUUAGCAUCAGGGAUAGACUGAAUCCAUUCUUUAGCCUAACAAAUAAAUUAGCACAAGAAAACCAACAAGUAAAAACAUUAACUUGAGAUUGCUAUCUGCUUGUCCUUGAGCAGUGUCUUGAGCGUUACGAACAUGUGGCCCGUGAUAUGCAGGAGUAUAUCCAAAAUGGUGAUUUGAUGCGGUAGGAUAUGCUGUCGGACCAGGAAAUCCAUGAAACUGGAAGCUGAGCAAUGAAGGGAGCAAUCCACCAAAACCAGCAGACAUAGUAAAAUUACCAAAUCUUGCAGUUGCUGUUGGAAACAAUCCUCCCAUGUGCCCAAAUCCAUGAUUAGGAAAAUGAUUUGGUUCAGGUUGAGGAGCAGUUUCAGGUCGUUGUCCAGCAGGUCUACUAGGAAUUUCAAGGCCAGGAAUUGGUUUUGAUCGGGGAUCAGUAGAAGUUCUUCCUCUUCCAUAAAGUGGAACUAACUUCUCCUCUUGAAUAAGUGCCUUACAGACAGGGCAUUCAUGGCACUGUGAGUGAAGACGUAACCAUCUAUACAGACAUGGCCAACA